UACGGAGGGGGCUAGCGUUGUUCGGAAUUACUGGGCGUAAAGCGCACGUAGGCGGCUUUGUAAGUUAGAGGUGAAAGCCCAGGGCUCAACCCUGGAAUUGCCUUUAAGACUGCAUCGCUUGAACAUCGGAGAGGUAAGUGGAAUUCCGAGUGUAGAGGUGAAAUUCGUAGAUAUUCGGAAGAACACCAGUGGCGAAGGCGACUUACUGGACGAUUGUUGACGCUGAGGCACGAAAGCGUGGGGAUCAAACAGG
rnacentral:rRNA from 1 species